UCGUGAACAUCUCCGUCUCGG
rnacentral:misc_RNA from 1 species